UUUUUCAUAAUCAAUAUCUUUUUUUGGAGUUGUAAUAAUUGGCAUUGGUUUAAUGUAAACUCCAAAGCUUUCAAGUUGAUAACCACAAAUUGUGCCAUGAAAUCCAUUGAGCCAACCAUAAUCCAAUGCAUUUAUAUUAAAUUCUGUGUCUUCACUUGCCAUAUAAGUAGGUUUAUUUUUUGGAAAUGGUCCAUAUGAAUUUUUAUUUGUCACAAAUGUAAUUGAUUUCAAAAUUCUAUCUGUUCCUGAUAUUCCAUGUCGACCAUUUAUUCCAAUCAAAUAUUCAGAUGGAUAAUCCAGCUUGAUCUGAAAAUUCUUAAAAAAAAUAUUGUUAGAUAAAAUUAAAUGUUUGGGGUUAGUUUUGUAUAUAACAAGUAAAGUUUAGUGAUUUUAAUGUUACAAAAGAUAGUUUUGUGACUCUACUGAUAUAACGGGUAAAAUUUGAUGACCACAUGUAACAUCACUUACCUACCAGACAUGUUAUUGUAUCAAAAGUAAGAUUGUGUAUCUAUUGUGGAUUUAGUGACUUGAGAAAUAAUUUCGUGAUUUUACUAAUAAAACAGUUGAGUGACCACACGUGAAAUUAACCCAAAAAUGUUAGUAUGAUACUUAAAUGGACUAAGACAUGUUAUUGUAUCAAGACUAAAGUCAUGUAUUAACAACAAGUAUGCUUGAAUUUCAAGUGAGUUGUUAUCGACUAUAUGAAUCCUCGAUGAUCAUUGUUGAUACAUUGCUAAUCCUUUGUAGAAUGAAUCAUGCAUCUCUUAUAGAUAGAAAUCUCCUAAUUUUUCUAGAGCAACUAAAAAAGAUAACCAAAACAAACGUGAUUGAACGUAGCAUAUGUCCUAUUCAAAAAAAUUUACGACUCAAUCAUAGAUAAUGAAAUCAAAAUAUAACAACAACGACGAUCACUUUUUUUUCUAGAGUCGAUCUAAAUCAAUGGCAAAACAUGUUUAAUGAAGAACAAAAUUUCAAUUGGAGCAAACAAAUUAGUGAUACAACGUUGAAUCUGAGGAGGGUAAUAGAAUAUACGCAAGUCUUACCCUUACCUCGUAGAGCAAAUAGACCAUUGGCACGUACAACAUCAACAACAACAUGGUAAGUAAAUCCCAUGAUAUGGGCCAUGAGGUAUGCAGACUUUACCCUUACCUUAUGGAGGUAGAAAGACUGUUUUCGACAGACCAUUGGCACAAGUAAAACAUUUUUGAAAAAGAAAAUACAGCAGUAAAGAAGACACGACACGAAACAUAUUAAAGGGGAACUUACAAUUUCAAGAUUUUCUAUAAGAUCACCAUGUCUCACUGAUGGAGAAAAUUUUCCAUCUUUGACAUAUAAAAAUUGGAGAUGGCUAACUGUUCUACCAUAAGAAAUAGAAAUCAUAGCAAUAUCACCAACAUCAACAUCUUCCCAUGUUGUUCCUUUUAAUUUACUACUUGUCACAGUUUCAACUUUGAAUCUCAUAUUUUCCAUUUAACAAAGAUUAAUUUAAUCAAGAUUGGAAAAAAAAAUAUUGUGAGAAAUAAAACAAAGAAAAACAAUUAAGUUGUGAGUCUUUAGGUCCAUUAGGACCUUAUUAUAUAUACUACUUUAUGUUGCAAUCUUUUAUGCCUUUCUUGAAAAUGAAUUUGAGAUUUGGAAUUUUACUUCAAUUGGUAGACUAGGUUCUUAUCCUUUUUAUGAAGAAAUGUUGUUUAUUGAAGAAACAUGUCUUUUGUAUUAUUCUACAAGUGAGGUCUCGGAAGGAGGGUAGAACAUAUAUAGACCUUACCCUUACCUCAUAAAGAUAGAGAGGUUGUUUCUGAUAGAUUCUAGGGUCAAGUAUUAUUUUAUGUGUCGUUUACCAAUAAAUUACACCUCAAUGACCUUGGCGCGGGCAAAACUUCAAGAUUAGAAGUUUUGUCCGCGUGGUCAAAAGUUCAGACACCAACCACCUCCAAGGUCAUUCUUGUAAAUCACACUACGUUAACGUCUACUUCAAGAAAGGGAAAAGAAAACAAAGAAACACUAUUUGUAGGAUGACAAAUAUGCAUUUCCUUCUAUGUUUUGCAAAGAAAAAUUCAGAAGUUGGAUGAACACUUCUGAUUAUUUUUCAUGCAAAUUCCAUAAACCAAAUGUCACAUUAACUUAGUGAAGAAAAGAAAUAAAGAACAUCUUUGGUAUGAACCAAAGAAUAACAUCUAGUUCAGUGGUUUUGUGCUAUGCGUCCUGUUUAGUCAGUGACACAGCUUUGCUAGUCAACUCCUCCUCCUGGAAAGCCUUCUAUUUAACUUCACAAUUUUCAGCUUUCCCUCUACACUUUGAUGUUGUCUAUAAAUUAGACAAUUGAUUCUUUCUUUCUUAGUAAUCAAAUGUAGAAGAUUGAAUAGUCAUUUCCCCUAAUCUUCCACUUUCGGUGCGUUCGGUACGGAGGAAAACAUUUUCUGUUUCCAAUUUUUUCAUGUUCGAUUGGCUUAAAUAUUUUGAAAAAUGUUUUCUAGAUGGACUUAUUUUUCCACUUUUAGUGUGUUGCUCCUUUUUCCUGGUCUUUUUAGGUGUUACUCUUACUUGUCUUGAAUAAGGAGGGGCUUUGCUUAGUUUGGGUUGCUUCACUUGAUUUAUGGUGUGUGUUCGGUACGAAGGAAAAUAUUUUCAUGUUCGGUUGGCUUAAAAACAUUUUCGGUACGAAAACAAAAUCCUUUAAAAAUGAGGAAAACGGAAAUAAGGGAAACAAGUUUCAUAUUGAUUGUGUCAUCUGCGCUAUUCAAUACCUUAUUUUCACCACCACCACCUUCCCACUUGAAGCCUACACAGUACAUCCUCGCCACCCCACAUUCUCUACCUUCACUCCCACCUUCGAUAGUAUUUGUCUGGAACAUACGAACGUUUUUAGGAUAAUGUAUUUUGCUAAUGUAUCGAACAUGAAAAUAAGUAAAAAAAUUCACUUAUUUUUUCUUCUUUGUACUGAACACACCCUUAGUUGAAGUUCUCUUUGUAUGAUCAAUAGGGUACAAAUUUGAGUCGUAGAAUAACCAUUGAUGCUUGUGUGGGGUUGUUUAGAGUGUGCGAAUCUGUUCAAUCAACAUAAAAGAUAUACUGCUUUAUUCUUCUCCCAUUCAAACUCGUCUACACAUACAAAGUACAUUGUGCUAAAGCUCUUGACUUGACAUGAAAAGUAAAUAUCUUUUUUUCAUGAACCUCGACAGAUCUUUAUAUUAUUUAUAUAACAAGUACAUACAUGAACUUUUACAAAUUGCACAUUCAACCCUCAAUUACAUCAAUAUUUUCAUAAUCAAUAUCUUUUUUUGGAGUUGCAAUAAUUGGCAUUGGUUUAAUGUAAACUCCAAAACUUUCAAGUUGAUUACCAUAAAUUGUGCCAUGAAAUCCAUUGAGCCAACCAUAAUCCAAUGCAUUUAUAUUAAAGUCUGUGUCUUCACUUACCAAAUAAGUAGGUUUAUUUUUUGGAAAUGGUCCAUAUGAAUUUUUAUUUGUCACAAAUGUAAUUGAUUUCAAAAUUCUAUCUGUUCCAACUAAUCCAUGUCGACCAUUUAUUCCAAUCAAAUAUUCUGUUGGAUAAUCCAGCUUGAUCUGAAAAUUCUUUAAAAAAAAAUGUUAGAUAAAAUUAAAUGUUUGAG
rnacentral:lncRNA from 1 species